UCUGCCUUCAACACUGGGAUAACUCCGGGAAACCGGGGCUAAUACCGGAUAUGAAAUCUGCGGGCAUCCGCGGAUUUGGAAAGUUUUUCGGUUGAAGAUGAUCUCGCGGCCUAUCAGCUUGUUGGUGAGGUAAUGGCUCACCAAGGCGACGACGGGUAGCCGGCCUGAGAGGGCGACCGGCCACACUGGGACUGAGACACGGCCCAGACUCCUACGGGAGGCAGCAGUGGGGAAUAUUGGGCAAUGGAGGAAACUCUGACCCAGCGACGCCGCGUGCGGGAUGAAGGCCUUCGGGUUGUAAACCGCUUUCAGCAGGGAAGAAGCGAAAGUGACGGUACCUGCAGAAGAAGCACCGGCUAACUAUGUGCCAGCAGCCGCGGUAAUACAUAGGGUGCAAGCGUUGUCCGGAAUUAUUGGGCGUAAAGAGCUCGUAGGUGGUUCGUCACGUCGGAUGUGAAACUCUGGGGCUUAACCCCAGACCUGCAUUCGAUACGGGCGAGCUUGAGUAUGGUAGGGGAGUCUGGAAUUCCUGGUGUAGCGGUGGAAUGCGCAGAUAUCAGGAGGAACACCAAUGGCGAAGGCAGGACUCUGGGCCAUUACUGACACUGAGGAGCGAAAGCGUGGGGAGCGAACAGGAUUAGAUACCCUGGUAGUCCACGCCGUAAACGGUGGGCACUAGUUGUGGGGACCUUCCACGGUCUCUGCGACGCAGCUAACGCA
rnacentral:rRNA from 1 species